rnacentral:rRNA from 1 species
GUGGGGAAUUUUGCGCAAUGGGCGAAAGCCUGACGCAGCAACGCCGCGUGCGGGACGAAGGCCCUCGGGUUGUAAACCGCUUUCAGCAGGGAAGAUCCAAGACGGUACCUGCAGAAGAAGCUCCGGCUAACUACGUGCCAGCAGCCGCGGUAAUACGUAGGGGGCGAGCGUUAUCCGGAUUCAUUGGGCGUAAAGCGCGCGUAGGCGGCCGCCUAAGCGGAACCUCUAAUCCCGGGGCUCAACCUCGGGCCGGGUUCCGGACUGGGCGGCUCGAGUGCGGUAGAGGAGAGCGGAAUUCCCGGUGUAGCGGUGGAAUGCGCAGAUAUCGGGAAGAACACCGAUGGCGAAGGCAGCUCUCUGGGCCGUCACUGACGCUGAGGCGCGAAAGCUGGGGGAGCGAACAGGAUUAGAAACCCUAGUAGUCC